rnacentral:rRNA from 1 species
UACAGAGGUCUCAAGCGUUGUUCGGAAUCACUGGGCGUAAAGGGUGCGUAGGCGGUGCGGCAAGUCAGAUGUGAAAUCCCGGGGCUCAACCUCGGAACUGCAUCCGAUACUGCCGGACUUGAGGGCUGGAGAGGUGUAUGGAAUUCCUGGUGUAGAGGUGAAAUUCGUAGAUAUCAGGAGGAACACCGGUGGCGAAGGCGGCUUUCUGGACACUUACUGACGCUGAGACGCGAAAGCGUGGGGAGCAAACAGG